rnacentral:rRNA from 4 species
ACAGGGAUUGCCCUAGUAACGGCGAGUGAAGCGGCAACAGCUCAAAUUUGAAAUCUGGCUCUUUCAGAGUCCGAGUUGUAAUUUGCAGAGGGCGCUUUGGCGUUGGCAGCGGUCCAAGUUCCUUGGAACAGGACGUCACAGAGGGUGAGAAUCCCGUACGUGGUCGCUGGCCUUCGCCGUGUAAAGCCCCUUCGACGAGUCGAGUUGUUUGGGAAUGCAGCUCUAAAUGGGAGGUAAAUUUCUUCUAAAGCUAAAUACUGGCCAGAGACCGAUAGCGCACAAGUAGAGUGAUCGAAAGAUGAAAAGCACUUUGGAAAGAGAGUCAAAUAGCACGUGAAAUUGUUGAAAGGGAAGCGCUUGCAGCCAGACUUGCCUGUAGUUGCUCAUCCGGGCUUUUGCCCGGUGCACUCUUCUGCGGGCAGGCCAGCAUCAGUUUGGGCGGUUGGAUAAAGGUCUCUGUCAUGUACCUCUCUUCGGGGAGGCCUUAUAGGGGAGACGUCAUGCAACCAGCCUGGACUGAGGUCCGCGCAUUUAUGCUAGGAUGCUGGCGUAAUGGCUGUAAGCGGCCCGUCUUGAAACACGGACCAAGGAGUCUAACAUCUAUGCGAGUGUUUGGGUGUCAAGCCCGAACGCGUAAUGAAAGUGAACGGAGGUGGGACCCCAUUAGGGUGCACCAUCGACCGAUCCUGAUGUCUUCGGAUGGAUUUGAGUAAGAGCAUGGCUGUUGGGACCCGAAAGAUGGUGAACUAUGCUUGAAUAGGGUGAAGCCAGAGGAAACUCUGGUGGAGGCUCGCAGCGGUUCUGACGUGCAAAUCGAUCGUCAAAUUUGGGCAUAGGGGCGAAAGACUAA